rnacentral:rRNA from 1 species
UACGGAGGUCCCAAGCGUUGUUCGGAAUUACUGGGCGUAAAGGGAGCGCAGGCGGACAGGUCAGUCUAAAGUGGAAAUCCGGGGCUCAACCUCGGACUUGCUUCGGAUACUGCCUGUCUUGAGUUCGUGAGAGGAAGAUGGAAUUCAGGGUGUAGCGGUGAAAUGCUCAGAUAUCCUGAGGAACACCGGUGGCGAAAGCGGUCUUCUGGCGCGAAACUGACGCUGAGGCUCGAAAGCGUGGGGAGCAAACGGGAUUAGAUACCCCGGUAGUCCACGCCGUAAACGUUGUGUGCUAGGUGUAGGAGGUAUCGACCCCUUCUGUGCCGCAGCUAACGCAUUAAGCACACCGCCUGGGGAGUACGCUCGCAAGAGUGAA